AACGAACGCUGGCGGCAUGCCUAACACAUGCAAGUCGAACGAGACCUUCGGGUCUAGUGGCGCACGGGUGCGUAACGCGUGGGAACCUGCCCUUAGGUUCGGAAUAACUCCCCGAAAGGGGUGCUAAUACCGGAUAAUGUCUUCGGACCAAAGAUUUAUCGCCUUUGGAUGGGCACGCGUUGGAUUAGCUAGUUGGUAGGGUAAAAGCCUACCAAGGCGACGAUCCAUAGCUGGUCUGAGAGGAUGAUCAGCCACACUGGGACUGAGACACGGCCCAGACUCCUACGGGAGGCAGCAGUGGGGAAUAUUGGACAAUGGGCGAAAGCCUGAGUCAGCAAUGCCGCGUGAGUGAUGAAGGCCUUAGGGUUGUAAAGCUCUUUUAACCGGGAUGAUAAUGACAGUACCGGGAGAAUAAGCUCCGGCUAACUCCGUG
rnacentral:rRNA from 1 species